rnacentral:rRNA from 1 species
CCUACGGGUGGCAGCAGUGAGGAAUAUUGGUCAAUGGACGAGAGUCUGAACCAGCCAAGUAGCGUGAAGGAUGACUGCCCUAUGGGUUGUAAACUUCUUUUAUAUGGGAAUAAAACGUUCCACGUGUGGGAUUUUGUAUGUACCAUAUGAAUAAGGAUCGGCUAACUCCGUGCCAGCAGCCGCGGUAAUACGGAGGAUCCGAGCGUUAUCCGGGUUUAUUGGGUGUAAAGGGAGCGUAGGUGGAUUGUUAAGUGAGUUGUGAAAGUUUGCGGCUCAACCGUAAAAUUGCAGUUGAAACUGGCAGUCUUGAGUACAGUAGAGGUGGGCGGAAUUCGUGGUGUAGCGGUGAAAUGCUUAGAUAUCACGAAGAACUCCGAUUGCGAAGGCAGUUCACUGGACUGCAACUGACACUGAGGCUCGAAAGUGUGGGUAUCAAACAGGAUUAGAUACCCCAGUAGUC